UACGUAGGUGGCAAGCGUUGUUCGGAAUUAUUGGGCGUAAAGAGCUUGUAGGCGGCCUGUCGCGUCUGCUGUGAAAAUCCGGGGCUCAACCCCGGACUUGCAGUGGGUACGGGCAGACUAGAGUGUGGUAGGGGAGACUGGAAUUCCUGGUGUAGCGGUGAAAUGCGCAGAUAUCAGGAGGAACACCGAUGGCGAAGGCAGGUCUCUGGGCCACUACUGACGCUGAGAAGCGAAAGCAUGGGGAGCGAACAGG
rnacentral:rRNA from 1 species